rnacentral:rRNA from 1 species
UACAGAGGUCUCGAGCGUUAGGCGGAAUCACUGGGCUUAAAGCGUGUGUAGGUGGAUGCCUAAGUACCUUGUGAAAUCCCACAGCUUAACUGUGGAACUGCUUGGUAUACUGGGUGUCUUGAGUCACUCAGGGGCGAGCGGAACAAAUGGUGGAGCGGUGAAAUGCGUAGAUAUCAUGUGGAACGCCAAUGGUGAAAACAGCUCGCUGGGGGUGCACUGACACUGAGACACGAAAGCCAGGGGAGCGAACGGG